rnacentral:lncRNA from 1 species
AACCCUUCUACUCUCCUGGAAUAAGAGUACAAACUUAGAGAAAAUAUUACUGCUAGAAAUGAAAAAUAUAGAAAUGAUUAAUCACAUGAACCUCUUAGACUAUUGUAAAAUCUAUUAGCCUGCACUUGAGAGAAGAAAUACAGUAUAAUUUUUUUUCAGUUUCAAAAUCCAGGAUAUUGAACAAUUCUUGUAUUCCUACAAGAGAGUGAAUAGAUGAUCAAUCAGAUUAAUAACUCCUAAAGCACAACAAACACAUGAGAACCUGAUCUAAGAAAUAUUAUAUAGCCAAAAGCCAUUCACAGAAUACUAUCAUUUAUUUUUCAGAGGACGGAUCCAACAUUCAAAUGGUCUUGGGUCUGCAUCUUAGCUCGGCCACUGGAUAGCUGUACAACUACGGAGUCUUGCUCUGUUGCCCAGGCUGGAGUGCAGUGGCGCGAUCUCGACUCACUACAACUUCCGCCUCCCGGAUUCAAGCGAUUCUCCUGCCUUAGCCUCCCGAGCAGCUGGAACUACAGGCACGUGCCACCACGCCCAGCUAAUUUUUUUGUAUUUUUAGUAGAGACGGGGUUUCACCAUGUUAGCCAGGAUGGUCUCAAUUGUUCUGGAGUCUUUCUCUAAUACACUACAUACAAUCCAUAGGCAAAUUCUGUUGGCGUCACCUUCGAAAUCUACCCCAAAUCUUACUAUUUUUACAGCACUUCAACCACCAGUACCUUAUCAAAAACCACUUCUAUAUUUCUUGUAAAUUAUUGGAACAGCCCUUUACCUGGUCUUCCUGUUUCUGCCUUUUGCAUCCCUUCUUCCUUCCUCUCCUCCACACAUACCACUAAAAUCGCAGCAUUGCAACUACAGUAAUAAAUACAUCACUUCUCUGCACAAAAGCUUCUGGUGGCUUCCCCCCUCACUCAGGAAGUCUUUAUAGUACUCCAGAAGAUCACUUUCUGGCCUUCCCUGUUGGGCUCAUUUUCUAUUUCUACCUUGCCCACUCUGUUGCAGCCACACUGUCCUCCCUGCUGAUUCGUGAACACACUGACCAUGCUCUUGCUUCAAGAACACUUACAUUGCUGUUCCCUCUGCCAGGACAGUUCCUCUAGUAUCCACUCACCUCAUUCAGUUUCUGCACAAAUGUCACUUUUACAAUAAAGUCAUCCCUAAAGAACUAAUUUAAAAUUGUACCCUACUAAAUAGAAAUCCCCUUACCUCACUUAGAACACUCUAAAAGUGCUCUAAAGGACUAAAUUAGCAAUUUAGCCCUUUAGUACCCCACUGAUUAGCAAUCCCCUUACCCCACUUAGAGAGUGCUCUACUAGUACUUUAGGUAGUACCAUCUAAACAGUGAUGCCACUGUCAGACUAAAAAUCACCAUCAUAGGUAGAUACAUUAAUUUAAAUCAGAUAAACGUAAUCAUCUAAUUUGAACAUUAUAUUUCAUCUACAAUAUCCACUUAUUCAACAGGUAUUUAUUGACCAUGCUGUACAAUUUUCUAGGUGCAGAAGAUACAUCACUUAACAAAGAAGAUCACUACACUUGGUUACUUGGAGUUUAUAUUUGAAUUGGUAAAAUAUAUGGCAGAAACUGAAAGUGCUGAGAAGGACCAAAUUAGUAAUGAGUAAUUUAGCCCUUUAGUGCCCUACUGAUUAGCAAUCCUCUUACCCCACUUAUAGAGUGCUCUUCUAGUACUUUAGAUAGCAGCAUCUAAACAGUAGCAUCUAAACCCCUUGGGAUUGCUAAUUACCCUACUUUAGGAGGUAAUUACAUGAGGAUGGUGAAGCCUUUAUGGAAGGAAUUAGGGUCCUUAUAAAAGCACUUGAGGCAGUGGGUCCACUCUCUUUUGCUCUUCCACCAUGUGAGGACACAGCAUUCAAAGCACCACCUUGGAAGCAGAGAUAAGGCUCUCACCAGACACCAAACCUGCCUGCCCCUUGAUUUUGGACAUCCAGCCUUCAGAACUGUGAGAAGUACAUUUCUAUUAUUUAUGAAUUACCCAGUCUGGUAUUUUAUUAUAGCAGCAUAAAGAGACUGUGAUAGAAGGUAUGAAUUUUUGUUCUAAACGAGGACUGGGGGUGGUAGGAACUUGAAAACAACGCUAAUAUAACAAAUCAAUUAGAUUGCUUCUAGCUAUUUUAUUUUUCUUUCAUUAAUUAGUAAUUCCAAUCCAGUUCUGGGUGUGAAGUUCUACAGGUAAAACAUGUUCCUUUUAGAUAUUUUCCUCUGAAAAGAAUUGGGGAAAUAUUGCAAAGGAAAAGGAAAAGGGAAAGGAGUGAUUCUGACAUUUAUGAAUUUGUGAUAUUAUGUACUGAAAUUAUGACCUGAUUGUAUAUUUCUCCCUAGUCUGCAUAUAGGGAGGUUAUUCAGGUAAACUACUACUGUUGCUUACUGAAUUAUUCCAGUGUCACUUCUCCCUACAACACACGUGGCAUCAUAAUAACAUGAUGGUGUCACUCUGCCAUCUCGAAUAAGUAAUCAAAGAAAUCAGGAAGUGAGUUAUAAUGAGACUGUUGCCAAAGUAUGGAAUUUCUUACGAGUAAUAUGUUUUUUGUUUGUUUGUUUAAAUUUGAUUUGGGGGGAAAAUUAUGUAUUCUGCAUUGAUAAGUUAAACAAAUUAUGUUUUUUAUCCCAUUAUAAUAAAUAUUAACAUUUAUUAUCUUAAAGAUUAAUUGUUUUUUUAUAAGAUAAAAUAACAAUUGUAACUCAAAUAAUUUAGUUUUAAGUAUCUAAGCUUUUUAUUAACGUAGAAGAAUCAGAGAUAAAUAGAUAAGGAAAGGGGAUUGUCCCCGGGAUUUUUUUUCUUUUGUGAUCUUGGCUCACUGCAACCUCUGCCUCCUGGGUUCAAGUGAUUCUCCUGCCUAAGCCUCCUGAGUAGCUGGGAUUACAGGCUUCUGCCACCACACCUGGCACAUUUUUGUAUUUUUAGUAGAGACGGAGUUUCACCACGUUGGCCCAGCUGGUCUCCAACUCCUGAUCUCAUGAUCUGCCUGCCUCGGCCUCCUAAAGUGCUGGGAUUACAGGCGUGAGCCAUCGCACCCAGCCAGGAAUAUAUAUAUAUAUAUAUAUAUAUUUUUUUUUUUUAGAAAAAUAGAGAAUACCUAUCACACAGGAUAGGAUUAUCAUAAGAAGGCAAAGAGGUAACAUUUGAAAAAAAUUUUGUAAAUGUAUUAUUACUAUACUGUGAAUGUUUGAUAGAAAAAGAAAGAACAAAUGAAAGAAACUAUUACUAGAAUAAUAGUUGUUCCUUAUCUACACCAUCCAGAAAGUUUCUGUAACACAGUGAAAACUUCAGUGUCAUUUUAGUUAUUAAAUCAUGGAGACAAUUCGAAACCACACCAAACAUACUCAUUUAAAUAUCUUACGAUCUCUUGGUUUUAAAAGUUUGUAAGAUAACUCAAAUUAGCCAAUUUUAAGUUUAAAUUAAAAUAAUAUAUAUAAUUGUUUUAAUCUAAUAUAAUUUCUACAAUUUUAGGAAGUACAGUAAAAUCCAUGGAAUUGGAUGUGAAGUUUAUUAGUAUAUUUUAAAGGAAAAUCUGCAGGGCAGAAAAACACACAAAGACUAGUUAAUCCUUUGUAAACUUCUAUUGCCACUUCUGAAAUAUAAAUUAAAUUUUUAAAAAAUUUUGUUUAGAAAGUGUCAAAAAUUGUUAAUAAGAAAAGUCACUAAUAGGAUUGGAACAUGUUACUUAUGUUAAUAGUGCAUACUUUAAUGCUUAACAUCAGGUUGCUAUAAUUUAAAUGUGUUCCUCAAAGUUCAUGUGUGGAAAACUUAAUCCCCAAUGCAACAGCGUUGGGAGGAGAAUCCCAAUAAGGGGUGAUUAGGUCAUAAGGGCUUUGCCCUUAGGAAUGCAUUAAUGUUGUCAUUGCUAGAGUGGGUUAAUUAUCUUGAGGGUAGGCUUGUUAAAAGGAAGUUAAAACCCCUCUUUAUCUCUUGCUUUCCCAAAUUCUCUCUAGCCCUUCCACCUUCUGCCAUGGGAUGGCACAGCAAGAAGGCCCUCAUCAGAUACAGGCCCUUCAGCCUUGGUUUUCCAGUCAUUAGAACUUGUGAAUCUUUUUGUGUUCCUUUCCAAGUUUGGAAGCAGAAGAGAGACAACGGAGUAGGCAGAUGGAGAAACAAAUAUUGACUUUAUUACUAAAUAAAUCUGGUAUUGGAAUAGGAUUCCUAAAGCUGAGUCCCAAAAUGAGACUGAUUUGCUGUUCUAACAGAAACCAGAAGAUUCAGUGAGAAGCGUCAGAAGCAUCUCCCUAACAUGAGAAAUGAAACUUUUGAAAACAUCACCAAAGUUGUUCCUGUCUUGUACUACAGGGCUCUCUCUACUGACUGGAGAUCUCAGGAGAAAUCAUGACUCCUUUCGCCUCACCUGGCUGAACCACCUGGAUGUCUUUCCAUCAUUCUCUGUCUAUUAUUACCCUAUAGAAUGACCUUCUUUCUUAUAUGUGUUCAGGAAGGGCAAAAAAAAAAAUCUCCUAGAUGUAUUUCUCUCUUUUUAAAAACUGUAAGUACUCAGAACAAUACCAAGAAAAAUACAAAAGCAAAGCUUUUUAUAGCUAAUUAGAAACUUCCUUGCAAUUCUGAAGUGUAUGUGAUAUUGUGUAUUGUUACAAUAAUACACAAUAUUAUUAAAGUAUAUGUGAUAUUAUGUAUUGUUUACCCUGUGGUGCUAUAUAUGAAUUUGUGUAUGAAGCUAUUCUUUACAUUUUAAUGAAAUGUCAUCAAUAUAUAGAGAAAAUAAUUUUCCUAGGUAUCACUGGAGAUUCAAAAUUUACCUCAUAUGAAUACAUUAUUUUAGGGGACAAUAUUUAUGCAGCCAGAUAGAGAAUAAAUUGGCUAGAAAGAUUGGGAUGAGCAGGCAUUAAACAUCACAUUCAGCUCUUAGUGCCCGAAUUUCAGACUAUUUUCAGGGACGGCAUUACUAAAGGACUAUUGCAGAAGAAUAAGAGACUAUACCAGAAAUGGAAAAGAAAGCUGGCUUUUUUUUUUCCCCGGCAUAAGUUUUAUCCUACCUAUAACGUGAUUAAGCAUCAAUGUUACCUAAGGAGUUGUUGAUACAGUACUUAUGUUGAAGCCUCAUUCCUGACCUAGUAAAUGAUUUUUUUCCCUGCAAGUGGGAGUAUUCAGACGGAGAAAUUAUGGAGUCUUGCCUGUUUAGGUUUGAAGAUUUUAACUUGUGUGCUCAGUCUCAAAACAUAUAGAAACUAUUGAAACACUUCUCGUAUUCCCUAAUCCAAAGUCAACUUCCUGCCUGGUUUUCUAUAACUACAUCCAAACCUUCUUAACCCUGAGUAAACUCAUUGUAUUCACAUGUAGAUAUUUUUCUCUCAUAUUUUUAAGAGUCAUCAGUUAAUACCACCAUUGUUUUAUUUAAAAGUGAGACUCCCACUAUGUUCUUUAUGAGUAGUUCAUACUCUUGAUUUAAUCCCCAAAUCCUCUGGCAUCUUUCCCUGCAAUCUGAAGUUGGAGAAAACUAUAGUUACUGAGUCACAUUAAAGCUAUGACAGUUCACAUUUGAUUUUCACCUCAUUUUACAGAUGCACAGCCUGAGAACUAUCUAGUAAUUCUGAAUCCAUUGCAUCUUCUAUGGGCAAUUCAAAAUACUCUGACUUGGGCAUAGUUAGUGAAUCAUGUUUGGACAUUUGGGAGGAACACCACAUAUCAUUCAGCAAGAUCCAUUUGAAGUUUCCUUUUAGGUGUUAAUGACUUGGAGUUGUAAUUUUACCAGCCACUGUCUUCAGCCCAAUGUUGGGAGAUGAAGUGCGUGUUUUAUGAAACAAAUUAUGAUUUUUUAUUUCUUAAAAAGUUAUACUUCUUUGCCUGUCUUUUAUCAUUCCCCUGAAAAUAAUUAUGAAGUUCUCUUUUGUAGAAUUUUUCAGGAUGUUGCUUUGAAAUUAGAAAAUGCUAUCACACCUUGAAGAUUCUACACAGACUAUGCAUACAAAUACAUUAUUUGCUGUUGUGUGUCUACCCUGAAAUGUCGGUUUUGAUCACACUAAGUUUUUCUUAGCCUGACCUAUGUAAAUCAAAAACAAUAUAAUUCUCUCUCAACCCUCAGAAAAUACGUGCAUGAGUAUCUCUAGAUAAUUUGGAUAAUCAAAGUACUGACUAAUGGUGGAAAGUACAAAAAACAUGAUUAUGAAGAAUGCAUCAAUUUGACUAUUCCUUUGCUUAUCAUGCUUCUGCAAAUUUACAGUAUCUAUGGUUCUUGUUUCUCUUUUACCAAGACAGUUACCAGCAUUUAAUAAAGUAAGUCUCAUGCUGAGAGAACUUCGUGUGUGUGUGAGUGUGUGUGUGUGUGUGUGACAAAGUGAUGAUCUGCAAAAUCCCUAUGACACUUGGCACUGAGGAUGCUGUCCAUAUGUUUCUGUUUUGUUUGCUAAAGUCUCUUUGUGCAAACCUGAGGACAUCUUUCCUAAAUAUACUCCCUUGUGAUUUCCUGUUACCAAGAAAUUCUGAAAUCACAAGGAAUUCAACAUAGCCUUCUCAUGAAGCUAAAUAUAUCUUACAAUUUUGAGAUUCUUUGUGAAUCCACUCAACAGUGAACUUAUUCUUCAUUUGCUGAAGGCUGAAUGGUCUCUCUGGAAGUCAGAACAGGAGCAGUGGUGCACAAAUCUCUGCUCUGUUAUUCCUUUUAUUUUACCUUCUAUGAAGGCAGCAUUCUCACUGACAUACUUAAAAUGCCAAAUCAAAAGUGUUUCCUCUUUUGUCUUUCUUUGGUCACAUAAAAAUACAUUUUAAAUUAAAAGAUAGCAUUUCAAGAUCCUUUUUUGUGAUGUGGUUAAUGUAUGUAUAUGAAAUCUUUAAAAUACACUGAAAUAAAGGAAAAUUUGUUUUCUUCUCUUUUA